rnacentral:lncRNA from 8 species
CGUCUGAAGGUUUUGUUCACCGACGCUCCGGUGCUGGCGCACCCGGACCCCUCUUUGCCCUUCAUAGUGGAGGUGGACGCGUCCGAGGCUGGGGUAGGAGCCGUGCUGUCCCAGCGCUCGGGCGCCCCCCCCCAAGCUCCGCCCCUGCGCCUUCUUCUCUAGGAAGUUGAGUCCGGCGGAGCGUAACUAUGAUGUGGGGGACAGGGAGCUGUUGGCUGUGGUCAGAGCCCUGAAGGUGUGGAGACAUUGGCUUGAGGGGGCGCGUCACCCUUUUCUCAUCUGGACUGACCACCGCAAUCUGGAGUACAUCCGGGCGGCGAGGAGACUGAACCCGCGUCAAGCCAGGUGGGCGAUGUUCUUUACGAGAUUUCAGUUUAACAUCUCGUAUAUCCCAGGUUCCCGGAACACUAAGGCCGACGCACUGCCUCGUCUCCAUGACGCCGAGGAACGGUCCACCGAUCCCACGCCCAUACUUCCAGCCUCCUGCCUGGUGGCACCGGUGGUCUGGGAGGUGGACGCGGACAUCGAGCGGGCGUUACGGACGGAGCCUACUCCUCCGCAGUGUCCAGUGGGUCGUAAGUACGUUCCGCUCGGUGUUCGCGAUCGUCUGAUUCGGUGGGCUCACACGCUUCCCUCCUCGCGUCACCCAGGGGUUGAGCGGACAGUGUGUGGUCUUAGUGGGAAAUACUGGUGGCCCACCUUGGUGAGGGACGUGAGGCACUAUGUCUCCUCCUGUUCGGUGUGCGCUCAGAGUAAGGCUCCCAGGCACCUGCCUAGAGGGAAAUUACAGCCCCUCCCGGUUCCACAACGACCAUGGUCCCACCUGGCAGUGGAUUUCCUGACCGAUCUCCGCCGUCUCAGGGCAACACUACGAUCUUGGUCGUUGUGGACCGGUUCUCUAAGUCCUGCCGUCUGCUUCCGUUACCCGGUCUUCCUACGGCCCUGCAGACCGCGGAAGCCUUAUUCACCCACGUCUUCCGGCACUACGGGGUGCCCGAGGAUAUUGUCUCAGAUCGAGGCCCCCAGUUCACGUCCCGAGUGUGGCGGGCGUUUAUGGAGUGACUGGGGGUUUCGGUCAGUUUGACCUCGGGGUUUCACCCCGAAAG